GGUCACAACGGUGAAGCUGAAAUCAACCAUUGCCGAGUAGGCCGUGGGAGUAGACAGAUAAUCCGCCCACAUUGUUGUAAGCUAGUGCGGAUGAGAGAGUCGGCCGCGGUAUUGUAAGCCGGUGCGGUUGCGAGAGACGGCCACGACGUUGUAAACCGGUGCAGGAGCCCGUUGAGUAACGCGACACGGACGACCACCUGUGCUGAAUGAUGUUGGCGUGCCCCCAUCUCCACGGUAUAAUACCAUUUUGUAAUGAAUAACGGUUUUGCUAUUUCACAGUCGAGUGUUUUACAAUUGGGCAUCAUCCAAUUUUGUGGUCGUUCAAUCUUGCACGGAGAUUCACACUGGGAGGUGUCUUUUUUAGGGCGUUUCCCUUUUCUGUUCCUUACUGGUGGCGUAAUAGUUUCCGGGCCAACCCGUUACUGCCCAAGUGCCCAUCCCCUAGGCCCUAGCCCUCUGUCUCCUUUUUUUCCAUUUCUGUCCUUUCGAUUCCUUGGCGAUUUCCUUGUCCACCAUGGUGAUUCCCAGCUCCUUCUCUACUACAGCUUGAUUUCCGAUCCAGUUUCUUGUGGUUUUGGUUGGUUGUUCUCGUCUGCUCUCUUUCCCCCACUGGAUUUCUUCUAGAUCUACUGGUUUGAUUCAAUUCCCCCGGUGUUUGAUAUAGACGUACGUGUACGUGUACUCAUAGCGGUGUAUUUUCUCUGGCAAUUCUUGUUGUUCUUGUAGUGGUAGGUGCAUGGAUGUAGCGGUGAAUUCGUUUCCCCUGUCGAUUUUCUAUGUGCUGGCCUAGGCGUCUGAUCUGCUGGAUCUAGUGGUAUUGGUAGUUUUAUUCUUGAUCGUUCAUGUUAUGUAGAUGUAGGUCCUUAGUUCCUUGCUCUUCCCCUGUUGAUUUGAUAUCUGCUAGCCUGGGAGUCUGAUUCAGAGGGUGUUUUGGGGGGGUUAGAUGUAGGUUCCUUGGUUGCUUGUUUCUGUAUGUUCGUGUGAUGUAGAUGCAGGUGCUUAUUUCAGUCCUUGCUCUAAAUUUCCUUUGCCCUGGUCGGUUGAUUUUGCUCGUCUGUGUGAUGUAGAAGUCGGCGGUAAUGGUCAAUCCUUGCUCCUUGCUCUGAAUUUGGUUCACCAGUCAUUUUUUAUUCUGAUGGCCCUUGUGAUGUGGAUGCAUGUCCUAAUUGUCAAUCAUUGAUCUGAAUUUAGGUUCAAGUGAUGUAGAGAUGUAGUAGUAAUUUAGGCAAACCUCCCUCGUCUGAAGUCAGGUCCUUAGUCAUGUGAAUGUUCUUAUUCAUUCUGUUUUGGUUCUGUAUGUAUUUGGUGGUUUGUGUUGUAUCUUCAGCUAUUUUUUGUUCAUGAAUUUCUCUGCCCUAGUACUUCUAUAAUGAGGUGUUGGUACUUUAGAUGCUAUCUCCUUAUUAGGUUGUGUAAUUUUCAGUUUUGGUGUUGUGCAAUUUCAGUUUUUCACUCAUUCUGUAGUAUGGUUUGGUACAGUCAUGUCAGUGUUGUUGUAUCCUCAUAUAUUUGAUGCUUAGGGUUUUGUGUGUGUUAUAUUUCAGGAUCAUGACGAGAAUGAACUUCUCUUUCAUGUAAUGGUUUAGAUGAGUCACGGUCCUGUUCGCUGCCAGUCUUUUUCCCUUCCCGACUAGAUGAAUAAAAUAUUAAUUCCAUUCGGGCAUGUGAGGAAGGGCGGCGUCGGCUUGACCAUGUCUUCUGUCUUAGUCGUUUCGGAGACUAAGUUUCUCAUUCAAUGGUGAGGUGUUUAUAGAAAGCAAGGCCUCGCUCGACGAGUCAUGUAGUCAUAGGUUUGAGUUCCCUAAUCAGUAGUGUAAGUUCCACAAGUAAGUAGUGUAACUUCCAUUUGAAUUCCAUUAGUUUGCAACAUUUUUGAAUUUGUAUCACACUGGUGAGUUUCCUAGUUUUUUAGUACUGCAAGUUCCAUAGGCAAGUACUGGAAGCUUCCUAGUUUUGCAAUGCCCACUUGCACUUUUAGAACCGAACAUUUUGGGUUUCUCUUUGUUGGAUUUGUAUUGAAUCCAGUUUACCAUUUGAAAGUCUAAAUGGAUAUUACUGAAACUAAAGUGUAAUCACAAUGUUCUAAUCUCUUAAAUGCAUGUGUUUUUAUUAGAAAUCUGGUAUAAUUUUACUGAAAUUUGUACUGUGAGCACAAUGUAUGUUUCAGUGAAAUUUUAGUGGAAUUAUUAUGUGCAUUUUCAGUGGAAUUAUAGUGCUUUUGAAUUGUAAUUACAGUGGGGAUUUCAGUGUAAUUACAGUGAGUAUUUGAGAGUAAUCACAUUAUCUUUUUAGUUAAUUUAGCCCUCAGGAUGUUUGGGUUUUGUCAUUGUUGGUGCAUUCACUUUAGAACAAUUUAUUUUCUUUUGUUAGGGUUAUUGGUAUACUCGUACUUUAUUUCUGCCCAUUUGUGUAAGCAACCUUAGUUGUGCACAUGAUUUUCUAGUAUAUGUAAUUUCAGCAAUUUGGUAACUGUAUUUUCAGUGUUUUUAGGCUUAUAGCUACUAUAAUUUACUACUUUGGAAAUGCUCUUUUUUUUGCACUGUACAUGCUAAAUAUUGUGGUUAUUCUAUGUCCCCAGUGCUUUUAUGCAAACUGACCAGUUUAGUGUCGUGGAAUAGAUAGAUUAUGUGAUCUCUGCAAAUUUUCUGGUGAUUUUGCAGGUGCUUAGGGUUUAGGGUUUCCAUACUCCAAUAGCCUCUCUGAUUUGGUGUUGUUCCCUUGUUAUUUCUUUCCACCGGCUCUCCAUGUACUAACAGUUCCAGAGCUCCUGAACUGUUAGAUAUUGUUGUACAUUUUUUCUUCAUAUAAUAAAGAUCGGCCAAUGGCCCUUCGAGAUUUUGCAGGUGCUUGCACAUCAAAGAUGUGCAAUUAACUAGGAGUUGAAAGUGAAGCUACUGUUGACAUGUCAAGUGCUCAAAUAAUGUGUAUUUUUUCUAGUGUAUUUCCAUUGUGUUCUUUGCAGUCAAUGUGUAAUUACAGUGCAUUUCAGUAGAGUUACAGUGCUUUUUAUUUGUAACUAGAAUGGAAUUUCAGUGCAAUUACAGUGGGGAUUUUAGUGGAUUUUCUAGAGUAAUCGCAGUUUACGUCACGAUGUAAUUACGGUGAAUUUUUAGUCUCACUACAGUGGGCAUUUAAGAGGAUUUUGAGAGAUAUUAUACUGCA